CCGGAACCGCCGGAACCGGCAGAACCGCCAGGGCCGCGGUUCCGGUCCGGUUCCGAUACGGAACCGCGAAAAAUACAGCCUUAGUCCUGGAGCAUCUCCAACUUAUAAAGAUAGCGGAUGAUUGUGGUUAAGCGAAGCAACAUUAUUUUCGUCCAUGGCUGCUCAAAAAGCGAGCUUUGUUAGUGCUUUCUUCCUGAUUACCGAUGGAGCUUAGAUAUGAGCUGUAAAUUCUAAGAUCGGUGCUCCGAUAUCAUGAUAGAAUUCAUCUGAUCUUUUACUAUAAAUGACAUGCAAUGAGAGAAGAUGGAAAUUGAGAGAGAAGA
rnacentral:lncRNA from 1 species